CAUGGAGGGUGAGAAUCCCGUCCGGUUGAUCAGAUUCGCUUUACGAUACGCUUUCUAAGAGUCAAGUUGUUUGGGAUUGCAGCUUAAAAUGGGAGGUAAAUUUCUCCUAAGGCUAAAUAACGGCGAGAGACCGAUAGCGAACAAGUACCGUGAGGGAAAGAUGAAAAGAACUUUGAAAAGAGAGUUAAAUAGUACGUGAAAUUGUUGAAAGGGAAACGAUUGAAGCCAGUCGUACCUAUGGGUAAUCAGCCUUUUGGGUGUGAUUUUGUGGAGCGUGAGGAGUUAAACGCCUUCAUGCCUGUAUAUUCGUGCACUUUGGGUGUACUUGCCCGUAUGGUUGGUUAACAUCAAUUUUGGUGGUCAUAAAAUGACUGGAGGAAUGUAGCUUCGAUCUCGUAUUGAAGUGUUAUAGCCUUCGGUAGAUGUGAUGAUCAAGAUUGAGGAUUGCAACGGAUACCCUUCGGGGCUACCUGUCUGAUCUCUGAUCGUUGCUCUGGUACCGAAAGCUUGCUUACGGUUAUCAAAGUCGAUGGUCAAAAGGUUAGAACGGGUUAAAUUCGUUAAGGAUGUUGACGUAAUGG
rnacentral:rRNA from 1 species